ACACCAUUCAACACCAUUAACACUGUUAGACUCUUCCAGUAGAACUCAGGAGGCUGAAUUAGAUUAGAUGAAGUCAGACACUGUGUGUGACUCAAUAAUCCCCUCAGGUCCAUACAGUAAGUCCUCUCCAUGCUCUGUAAUCUCUUCUACUAAAUGAUAAGAGGCGACUAUUUAACUAUUUUUAGCGUUAGUGCUACAGUUAGACAUGAUGUUUCUUUUUUUUUCCACUUUAUUUCCUUUUAGGUCAAAAUUACGUGAACAUCAUCUUUGUAGUAUUUAGGCGUUAUAUGAAGUGAGCCACGACUUUUUUGUAGCGAUUGUUCCACUUUUAACCUCUGACUCACCUUGACUGGAACAGAACACCAUCACCACCUCACUGAUUCACUACAACACUGUGUGUCGGUCUCCAGGCUUUCCACGUUAGUGCUUCAGACCAUAAGCCUGAUGCUCGGUGAGACGGAGAAAGGAGCUGCUCGCUUUAGCGCACUAACGUCCAAGCAGGGAAGCGUGACUGCAGACUUGCUCUUGGCUUUGGUGUGUGUGAUCCUGAGCUAAAGCCUUACAACUGCAAUUCUACAUCUCACACAGAGUCAGAGUCUCCCUUGAGCCCGUCUCAGGCUGUCCUCCUGUACCAGCGGUGCCACUUGCUCCUGACCUGCAUGCAGCACAACCCCUGUGUGAACACCUCCAUUAUUACAGAACUUAAAGAAGAGUUCAGGUAUUAUGUGAGACAGUCCGGUCUGGAGGACAAGCGUCCCCUUCACUGUCCCAUUAGUAGACCAGCACAGCAUCUCCUCUCCCAGCUGCUCAGCCUGGUGAUCACGAGGACUGUUUACAGCCAUCUGUCUCUCACACAUUAGUACAAAUAUUCAUUUUUCUCUUAUUAACUGAUGACCAUGGAUAUAUAUAGAACUGGUGUAUUAUGUACUUUGCCAGUUGUGGAGAUAAAGUCCAGUAUACUGUGUGAAGGACAAGGAGGAACAUUUAUCAUGAGGAUCCUGUAACCAGGAAAAGCAGCAAAAUCAAAUGCCAUUUGUAUUUAUAAAGGACAUUUCUUAUUUGCUUACUUUUUUGUGUAAACAUUUGCAUUAAUUAUAUGCCAUUCGCAAAAUUGCCUGUAGUGUGUGUAUGUGUGCCCUGCGAUAGAUUGGCCCCCUGCGACAUUGUAUACAGGAUAAAGCGGUAUAGACGGUGAGUGAGAGAGAGAGGUUAAGGUCAAAGGCCACAUAUGAAAAGGCCAUUAAGAUUCGUCUCUUAACUGACGUUCUAGGUGUUUAAAAAGCUUAUGUGACACACACACAGGUAAACACAUUAAUUACUUUGUUUACCGCCCACCAGACAGACAGUCAGAUACACACACACACAAUACUUUUUUUUUCUUCAAACAUAAU